GAUUUCUUAAACAGAGCAUAAUUUAAAAAGACUGUAGCCAACCACAUCUGGUUGGAAAUUGUGGCUUAGUUGAGUUUAUUAAAGUCAUUGUUGUUGUAUUUACUAACCUUUGGAGUAAAUGGGAGCUACUGAACACCUCCUGGGAGCUUCUUAAGCUCAGUGUGACCAAGUGCCUCUUGAAAAUUGAGGUUAUGGCUUAUUUUGGUAAUUAUUGG
rnacentral:misc_RNA from 1 species